GUCAGUAGAUGACCCAGAAACCUCUUGGCAAUGCAUUUUUUUCUCUGCCCCAGGUGCCUCAACUUCCCCCCAUCAGCCUCCUGUCUCUCUGCACCUGCGCCGGCGCCGUGCUCUUCUCUGCGCCGCCACCGUUGCUCGGGGAUGGGUCCCUGAGACUUGGCGAAGUAGGAGUACUGGACUCGUGCACAGGCCCUGUCUCGCAGGUUUUCAGGUCACAAAGCCUACUGCCUGCUAAUCGGCAAGUGGACCUGUUUCUCUAACAAUGGCCCGAAACUUCACAACAUCAAAGGAGAAAUCAUUGCCAGCAAAAGCAUUUCCGGGUAGUAGGAAAGAAUACAAGUGAAUAACAUUAGUCCAGAAGUUUUAAUAAUAUUCUUUGCUGGUUGAAAUUCAUGUUUAAUAUGAUGUAAAUUACUUGAUAAGCAAAUUAAGAACUAUGCUACUACAGACUCCAAAUAAGACGCAAGAAAAAUGAGAGGAAAUACAUUAAAGGAAAAUCUUAAAAAAACAGCUGCACAGAAGAUAAAUUAUUUUUCCAGGAGUUUUAAACAUAGUUGCUUUUGUUUGUUUGCUUUGCUGUUUUUUCUUAAUUGUUUUAGUAAGCUCAGGCUGCUAUAUAAAAAUAAGAUAGGCGCUGGUCUGAACAAUAGACAUUUAUUUCUUAUAGUUCUUGAACCUGGCAAGUCUGAGGAGGGUCAUCUUCUGGGCUUUCAAAGGGCUGCCUUUUUCCUAUGUACGUACAUAGUGAAUAGAAAGCGUUAGCUCUCUGGUCUCUACCUGUAAGAGCACUAAUCCCAUCAUGAAGACCCCAUCCUUAUGGGCUCAUCUAAACCUAAUUACUUCCAAAGGUCCCACCUCCAAAUGCUAACACAUUGAGAGUUAAGGCUUCAAUAUAUUAAUUUUGGGGAAACAAGACACAGUCCAUAUCAAAUAUAUAUAUAUAUAAUAUAUAUGUAUAAUAUAUAUGUAUACUAUAUAUGUAUAUAAUAUGUAUGUAUAAUAUAUAUACAAAUAUAUAUAAUAUAUAUUACAUAUACCCAAGUAUAUAUAUUAUAUAUAUUUGUAUAUAUAUUAUAUAUAUUUGUAUAUAUAUUAUGUAUGUUAUGUAAUACAACUAUAUACACUCUAAAAAGGCAGUGGAAUAUAGACAUACUUCAAUUGAUUGUGCUUUGCUUCACUUGGCUUCACAGAUAAUGUGUUUUACACAAAUUGAAGGUUUAUGACCACCCUGCAUCAAGCAACUUUAUUGGCACCACUUUGUAAUAGCAUGUGUUCAUUUGUAUCUCUGUGCCAUAUCUAGGUAAAUCUCACAAUAUUUCAAACUUUUUAACUAUAAUUAUAUUUGAUAUGAUAAUCUGUAACCAGUGACCUUUGAUGUUACUAUUGUAAUUGUUUUGGGCACCAUGAACCACAUCCAUAUAUGACAAUGAAUUUAAUCAAUAAAUGUGUGUGUUCUGACUGCUCCACCAACUUAGACAAUUAGUUUUAGAUCUUUUAUUUAGACGAUGAGAAAAUUUAAACUAUAAAUAGGCCAGGUCUGGUGGCUUAUGCCUGGAAUCCCAGCAUUUUGGGAGGCUGAGGUGGGAGGCUCACUGGAGGCCAGGAGUUCAAAACCAGCCUGAGCAACAUAGGGAGACCUCAGCUCUACAACUGAAAAAAAAAUAGCCAGGUGUGGUCAUGGUGGCACCGGUCUGUAUUCCAGCCACUUGGGAGGCUGAGGCAGGAGGUUUGCUUGAGUCCAGGAGUUUGAGGUUGCGGUGAGCUACACAAUGAGCUAUGGUGGCACUACUACACUCCAGCCUGGGCCAUAGAGUAAGGCCCUGUCUCUAACUGGAAGUCCAAAGAGGGAUCUACUUCCAAGACUAUUAAUUUAAUAGAUCAAUAAAUUAAUCAAGAAUAUGAUUUUUUUCUCAUCUUUCUCUGUAGUCAUAUUUUAUACAGACUUUUUGUUUAAGUAAUCUCUCUUUAUGGGCAGACAAUGAUUUCAGAAACACCACAAAUUAUUCUCAAAGAGAAAAGAUGAGGAUUUUUUUUUUUUAGAAAAUGUAACUCUUUUCAGUAGCUCUUGGCAGACCUACCCUCACAUUUUCUUGACUAAAAACAGUCAUUAAAAAAAGUCAGUCACAAACAGGUGAAUUUAAAUUAUCAUGGUUUACCUAUGCUUAACAAGCUUUAUCCUCAGAGGUAAGGAUAGGGUUACUUUCCUGAAUUUUAGAUAUGUGGAAAUAUUUGGAGUUAUGUCAAUAAAUGAAAAAGUGUGAUGGGUAUAGUGCUUGCCAUGGAAUAUACCAAAUACAGAUAUUCUGAAAACUUUAAGUUCAGUAAUAUGCCAGGGGUUCCCAAGACCAUUUGAGACCUGGUAAUUUAUUGGAAGUCUCUAAGGGAAUCAGAAGCUGUAGUACUCAUUGUUACAGUAUAUUACAGUAAAAACAGUACAGAUAGAAGUCAGCUAAGAGAAAAGACAAAUGAAGUGAACUCCAGGAGAAACCAAGUCCAAGCUCUCAGGUGUCCCCUCCCAGAGCAGUUGCAUGGGGACAUGUUUAAUUAUCCCAACAACAAUAUGUAAAGUACAAAGCAUUGCCAACCAGGAACACUCGCUGGAGCCUAGUUGUCGAAGGUGUUUACUGGGAUCAGUCGCAUAGUCAUGUAAUGCCCAUAUGAUUGACCUCAGCUCCAUGACAUUUAAGCACAACUUUCUUCCUACACCCAGAGUAAAAACAGAUGUUCACAUAAGUCACGUUGAUAACAUAACCUUUUCUGGUCGAACUGGGAGAGUAUGGCCCAAGACUUCAGGAAAACAAGAACACUUUUAUCAAGCAAAAUACUCCAAGGGCUCAGAGAUGAACUCCUAGUCUAAGGUCUAGUCCUGCAGAGGGACCCCUCUUUGGAAUGUAUAGUAUUUGAGCAAUUCAGGCCAGUCAAGUUAAACCUUUUCACCCAUGCCUAAAUGCUAUUUAAUAAAUGUAAAUAACAACGAUGAGAUAGUUUAUUAAACAUUUUUAUUGAAAUACACAAAUAGUAUAUAGUUAAUUAAUUUUAACAAAGUGAUUGUACAUAUUUCACAAUAAAAUUCCCUUAAAUUACCAUCUGCUCCAUCUGCAAGUAAUUAUUAUUCUGAUUGCUAAUAACAUAGACUUUUUUUAACCUAUUUUUGAACUUUUAUAAUAGAAUUAAACAAUAUAUAUUCUUUUCUGGAUGGCUUCUGUUACUCAGAAAUGUAUUUAGGAGAGUCAUCAAAGCUCUCUUGGGUAUACCAUUUAUCCUUCUUGCUUGAUAAUACUCCAUGUAUGUAUAUAUAUGCUAUGAUGUGUUUAUUUUACUCUUGAUGGAUAACUGCAAAACUUCCAAUUUAAGCUGUUGUGAAUAAUUCUUUAAUAAAAAAUUUUGUACAUUUGCUGAAUAUGUUUAUGUGUUCCUGUUGGAUGAUAGUAGCAGAAUUAUUGGUCACAGGGUAUGCAUAUACUUAAUUUUAACAGAUAAGAUCAAAUACCUUCCAAAUUCAUUUUAACAAUUACAGUCAACCUGCAUUGUUUUAGAGCCCCGAUUGCAGAGUCAUUUUGGAUUAGUUUGUCUUUCUCUUAUUGAUUUUAAUGGAUAGUGUUAGGCUGUAAAUAAUUUAUGCAUAGUAAGAACUUUCUCAACAAAUUUUACUCAGACUUCUGCUCUACGCUAAGAACUAGCUCUGGAAAUUAAUUCACAGAAAGAACAUGGUUAGGGGCCAUCCUGAGGGAUUUACCUCACUAGGGAUAUAUAUUUACAUUUCAAGAGAAGAUGAGACCCAGUAGAUGCAUCCCAGAAGUUACAAAGCUGGAGACUCUAGUGUUAUCUUUCCCCUAGAGAGAUUUAUUUUUAUCCAAGUGGUUAGAGUAAGAACUCAGACUUUUUUCCGUUUUGUGACUAUGGAGACACACUCAGAAGGGGGUCAGAGCAACUGGGUCACUCUUCCACAAAAAUGCUCAGGUUCUUUUUUCCAGAGUUCUUUGCCUACAGCAGAUCCCCUUACAUGUAGGACAUCUGGUUCUCACCACAUCACCACCACGGUAAGAAUUAGUGGAAAGGAGAGCUAGGUUAAGGGCAGCUGUUUCUUUCCUUCUCUGCAGCCUCUGGUACCAAGUACUGCAUGACAUGUGUCUCACAACAUUCCUGCCUCUGCACCUCUGUGCUACGACACUGGAUGAAUCUAUGGAGUGAGCAAUAGAAAGUCUCUGUACUGCCAGAAACAACUUCAUUUUACAUGGAAGUGGCUUUAAAUCAAGCACAUUAACCUCAAUGAACUGAAAUUAAAUAUGUCUCUAUUCAACUUCCCCUUAGCUGAAUACUAAAAGUGCUGUAGGCUGGACCCGCACUACCUGACAGGGAGAUAAAUGACUAAAGGCAAAUGGGAGUCAAAACAGGUGUGGCUUUUCUUAUUUUUAAUUAAGCAUCUUACAUAGCAAAUUUUGCAAAACUCGUAUGACCCCGAGAAAGACCCAUACACAUGAAAGGUCUUAAAGAUUUAACUUUCUUAGCUUUAACGUAAGCUUUCCACUGGAUUUUCCCAUUACACUCAUUCCAUAAAGAAAUGAAAUAAUCAUAUAUCUCAUUAUAUAAUUAUACUAAAUUGAUCUCGACACAUUUUCUUAGCAAUAUAUACCAACAUUGUUUCCAAUAUUGUUUAUUACAAAUGAUGCUACAGUUGAAAUCUUUAUAUCUGAACGCUUGUGUGUGUGUGCGUACCUAUUCUGUGUAUAACACUGAUUUUAUUUAUUUGUAUAGGCCUGGAAGUGGAAAUACUGUGACAUAAAAUAGAGGCACAGCAAAUUAUUCAAGAUGUCGACAAACAGCAUUGUUUCCAAGUUUUUGUUCCCUUACAAUCCUUGCCAUUGGCCAAUCUCUCAGAAUCCCGUGUUGCUUAACAUUUGGUAGCUUAGUAAAUAUUUUAAAUCUCAGAGAUUUUACCUAACUGAUACCAGGGUUUUUAAAAUUUGUUUAUAUAGAUUAAGCGUCUUUGAAGAAAUAACAGUAUGCAAAAAAUAUGGUUGCUAUUCUUCAUGUUAAAACUAUCUUAAACUCUUUUCCAGAGGAAAAAAUAACAAAAUAGAAACCAAUGAAGGUCUUUUGCUUGGUGAUUACAUAUAUUGAUUACCUGUGUAAGUUAAACAGAUUGGGAAAAGGAAAUAUCCAAAAUUGUGCCUAGAGUAUAUCAUGACAUCAUGUAUAUAUGUAAAUAAGUUAAUUUUUGCAAUCGCAACAUAGAGAAAAAUGUUAUUUUAAAUGAAUAAAAAUAAAUAGAACAUAAAGUAAUAUUUCAGCAUAUUAAAUUUAGGAGUAAAAACCUUUGACAUCCCUGAAAAUCUUUGGUAAAAAGUCCAGAUUAUGAUAACUUGGCUUUAAUGAACUAGGAAAUAGAUGGAUAAUAGCACACACAUUUUUAGCAUUGUAGGGAUUAUUUUCACUGGUUGUAGGAUCAACACACUUGGUUUAAAUAAUGGUUCUGAGAAUUUAAUUAAUUAAUAAUUUAAUUCAUUUUUGUUAGGAAAAUAAAUUCAUUUCUAGACACAGGAUAUUUUACAAUUGGAUCAUAUUUCAAAAAAGAAUCACUGUGUUUUUAAUGAACAAAUGUCACAUAAAGAAGUCUUUUCAAAAAGUGCUUCAAAAACUUAAAUUUGAAAUGUAUGCAACGGAUCCACAAGGUAUCUAAUAAUUUUUAUUUUUACCAAGCUCAUGAGUAAGUUAGCCCUGAAACAGUUUCGGAGAAAAAAAAAAGUGUUUUAGUUUCUUCAUCUGUAAAAUAUUUAUGUUGCAAGUGAUUGAGCAAAUAUAUAAAUGUAAGCAGUUUGAUCCUAGAACUUGUUGUGUUUAAGAAUAUGGAUUAUUGAGAAGUACUUCACCAUAGUAUUUAUCACAUAGUAUGUCCUAAUUGAAGAUUAAGUAUGGUUGUAAUCAUAAUAAAGUAUUUUGAAAAUUCUUUUGAAAACUGUUUUAAUGAAUUAUAGAUUGAACACUGAGAUAAGAUGGAGUUAUCCAUGAUCUUUAAGACAGCAAAAUUAGGUCUUGAAAUUAAAAUUGAAAUGAAUAUAAUACACAUAUAUUGAUUUUAUGUCGAUGUUUUAUAAUCAAAUCUGAUUAGAAAAAGGACAUUGGUAUAAAGGUUCUCCACAUCUUCUCAGUCACCCUACUUCAUUUUCUAAGGGAAUUACAUUACGUACUUUUAUUUUAUUUCUUGUUAUAUAGCUGUAUCCUUUCCUUGAUUUCUUGGCUUGCUUCUGCUCUCUUCUGCUAUGCCUAUCCAUCAGUUUCCAGAGCUCAGAAAAACAGUUUUUAACAGCCUAAUAUAUGUAUUUGGCAAUUUCCUCCCAUAGCUGUGAUUUAAUAUUCAUGGCCACAUAAAGGGUAUAAAAUAUUUUGCACUCGGUGUAUACACAUUUUCUUUAUAUCACUUUAUCUUUCAUCAAUAACUCAAUGGAAAUCCCGUUAAGAGAAUAUGGAUAGCUCUAGUUGGUAUUCAAUGUCUGCUUAACAUUUCAUGUUGACAAAUUAUCAUAAACUAUUCAAUAGAAGAAUUUUACUAACAAUAUAUCGUUAACAUUCUAAAAUAUUUUUGUAUAAUCUAGACUUUGGUGGGAACAAACCUUGGAACAAACUGGUUCCAAGGUUUCUUGGAGGGGAGUGGUGAAAAAGAAAUGGGGAAAUUUAUGUUUUUUGAAUUUGUCAACUUAUUGAGGAGGGGUAAGUAGAGAAAUUGACUAAUUUGCUAAGACAAUAGAAGGCAUCUUUAUUUCAAAUAGUACUUGAAAAUUAUGCAUCUAAUUGUGAGGUCAAAAAAUUGAAGAUACCCCUUAAUAAAGAAAUAAAGGAUAGAUCUUCCAAAAUAACAAGGAUGUAGUGGAAUGAAUAAAAAUGUAUCAAGUCAGCAGCAAUAAGGUAAAAAUAUUAGAAAAGUAAUGUUAAAUAGUUGUCAGAUGGAAGGAUAUAUUUGAGCAAAUAUUUUGUUAAAUAGAUGACAAAAAGGUAAUAUUUAUACAUUACAUAUAUGUGUUUGUAUGUAUGUAUGUAUGUAUGUAUGUAUGUAUUUAUUUUGAGAUAUAGUCUUGCCUGUCACCCAGGCUGGUAUGCAGUGGCACGAUCUCGGCUCACUGCAACCUCCGCCUCCCGGGUUCAGACAAUUCUCCUGCCUCAACCUCCCGAGUAGUUGGAACUGCAGGCGACCGCCACCACACUUAGCUAAUUUUUUUCUUUUUAGUAGAGACGAGGUUUCACCAUGUUGGCCAGGCUGGUCUUGAACUCCUGGCCUCGUGAUCUGCCUGCCUCAGCCUCCCAAAGUGCUGGGAUUACAGGUGUGAGCCACCGUGCCCAGCCUCACAGAUGUCUUAAAAUUCACCUGAUAAAGUUAGGAGCCUCAAGAAAAAUUAGCAGAGGAAAAUAAUAGGUAGUUACUAUUUAGGGUAAACUAAACUGUUCUAAGGAAUAGAAAAUAAAAAUUCCAUGUCUUCAAAAAUAAUUCUUCCCUCUCAAUCUCUCUGAAUAUCUCAUAAGAGUAUUCAGGCCACAGAAAUAACUACCAUUUAGCCACUCAGAGGCUUAUAGUACUUCUACUAACUUUAACAUUUGGCAACCAAAAUUACUCUAAGAAUCAUCACCCAAGUCAGACAAACAGGUAAGAUAACAAGAAAAAGUGCUUGUAUAAGGAUUUAAGACUAAGGCUCAGGGACAGCAAAUAUUCUAUUUGCUAAAACUAAGCCACAUGCACACACCAAGCAAGAGAGCCAGGGAAGUGGAUAGGCACAGGCAGUCAGUCCACAGAAGAAUGAAUCAAAGUGCUGAACUUUCAUAGAAAAAUCUGUUAAGAUUCAUGGGUGGUAAAGAAAAUACAAAUUAAAAUAACACAGGAAUGUCACCAGAAAAACCAUCAAAUAGGUAGCAUUUAAAGAUAUCUAUAGGACUUAUUGUUUCUAGUGUUCUCUCAUAUAUUUCUGGUGAAGAAUAAUUUAUUGUAGAGCUUUUUGAAACAAUCUGACAAUUUAUAUUGCAAUUAAUUGUACUUAUGCCAUCUGACCAAACAAUGUAACUCCUAGGCUUUUUGCCUAUAUGACUAAAAUCAUAUGCACAAUAGUGGUUAUUACAUUCUUUAGCCCAGUAGCCAUUAAAUUCCUUGUGCCCUUAAAACCUAAAAGUUCACAGGGAGAAGACCUCUUACUGACUUGUAGAAUCUCAAUACUACUUAUCUUGAAAUUUCAGUAAGUGUUAGGUAAAAGAGUUCAUUUGGGAUAAUCACACUAUGAUAGUCUUUAGCUUUUGAAUUGGAAUCCAAAUUUUAGUUUAGAACAGCAAAGUUUGCGCCUAAAGAUUUCAUGAAGUAAAAAUACUAAUUGUGAUUAUAUAUCUAAAUAUUUGCACAUCUAAAGUUGUCUUUUACCCGUAACCAGAAUAAAUGAUACCUUUUUAAAAAAAAAAAAAAAGAAGAGUAAUCUAUCUAGAAAAUGAAAAAAUUAGGCUAAAAUGGUGACUUAAGUAAUUUAAAUGGAUAUAGAUUUAUAAAAUUAAACUAUUUCUCAAUUUUGAGAGGAAAAAAUCAAGGAAAUCAAAUAUACCUUCUCUUUCUUUUGUCAACAGAUGUAUGCUGUCUUAAUUGAUGCUUAAUUUAUUUUUCCAUUACAUAAUUUUAAUAUUGUAAUAAUUAUAACAACAGACACAAAAUGAAAUUUCUGUACAUUUAUGAAAAAUGCUAAAAUUGUAAAGUAAUUUAAAUAUAUAGGUUUAAUUUAUUCAUAUGAUUUAAAAUUUUAUGUCAUUUUGUUUUAUUUCUUAAUUGUUGCUAUAAUUAAAUGUUAAUAAAAUAAAGUCUUUAAAAAUUCUGAUUUGGCCUUGCAAUAUGCGAUUAGAACACUUGUAAAAAUGCAAACAUAUAAAUAAUGCAAAAAUAAUAUUUGAAAAAUGUAAUCGUUCUUAAUGUUAUUGAACAUCCAAAAGUUAUUGACGAAGUAUUCAGAAGCAUUUUAGAUUAUUGUAAAAUAUUAUUUAAAUUAUAUUUAAUUAAAAAAUGAUAUACAUUACUCAGUAAAAAGAAAAAUAGAUAAUCAAGAAAAGCAAAACUGAAAAGAUGAAAAUGUUUUAAUAUUCAAGAAGCAAUCCUGUCUUUUUUACUGAAUUAAGGGACUUCCCUGCAAUAAAAUCGAUUAUGCUCACAUAAUAAAGGUAUAUCUUAAUAAUUUAAGUGAAGAAAUAAAAUCUGUCAUCACUUUCACUUUCAUCUGGAAAAUAGUACCUCGUAAGUUUUUUCCGUUGCAGACUAUAAACAUAGAAGCAAAUUUAUUAACUUGGCACUAUUAUAUAAGGUGCAUAAUGAGAGUUUGUAAAAUGGCAAAAUAGUUUUUUCUAGUCCUAUAGUCAAUUUAUCAUCAGAAUAGCUUCAGACUCUAUACAGGUUCAUUCUAUAAACAGUAUUGGUGAAAAAUCAGAUGUGUGGUCUGUUUUUUGUUUGUUUGUUUGAGACUAUCAUUGUUGAAUAUACAUCAAGCAAAAUAGUUAAAGAAAAGCCUUUGGAGUAACGUCGUAAAUUCAAUAAUAUGUAUAUGUGCACACACACACAAAUACACAUCCCAAACAACCACAAGAGGAAUAACAAAUUUAUAACCCGGGUGGGCACGGUGGCUCAUGCCUGUAAUCCCAGCACUCUGGGAGGCCGAGGCAGGCAGAUCACUUGAGGUCAGGAGUGAGACCAGCCUGGCCAACAUGGUGAAACUCCAUCUCUACUAAAAAUGCAAAAAAUUAGCCAGGGUGUGGUGGUGCACACCUGUCAGCUACUCAGGAGGCUGAGGCAGGAGAAUCGCUUAAACCCAGGAGGUGGAGGUUGCAGGGAGUGGAGAUUGUACCACUGCACUUCAACCUGGUUGGCAGAGCAAGACUCUGCCUCAAAAAAAAAUAUUAUUACCAAAAAUCUCACUAAUUCUAUACGUCAGCAUUUAUUAAAAUAAGGAUAAGAGAGAGCUACUGUAGAUAUCUCUAAGAAAAUAAAUAAAUGACUAUUGAAUGUGUAGUUAAUCUUUUUGUUUGCCCAUUUCUCUUUAGAGCCAUGCGCAUGAAUUGCAUUUGCGGGCUGGAUUACCAAGGGCUUCUCUGAAAUGGCAAAGAAAAUAAUGUUUGAUUUCAAAAUGCAAUAAUAGUAGCUAUAUGAAAACAUGACCUUUGAAAGAUUAUUCAGCAAAUAAUACACUUAAUGAAACUUGUUUUUUAAGAAAUAGAUAUUUCAGAAAAUAUGGUACUACAUAUGAUUGUUGCCAAAUCAUUCUGUAUACUUAAUGGUUGUUCAGCACUUUCUGUUUUAUAAAGUACUUUCAAAUAUAUCAAUUCAGUUAGCUAGUACCCAAAUCCUUGAUGUAAUCACUGUUAUAUAACAUACAAGCAAACUGUGUGUAAUAAAUCACUCUGCAGUUGGAGUACAAGAGUAGGCAUCAGGAAAGUGGCAGGUGUGUCAUUUUGAAUAAAGGCUGUUGUGGGAAAGGUUCCUUCAGACAGAUCCCUCUCCCUAGGUAUUUAUGUGGUGAGAAUAGCAGGUGAGGUUUGUGGAGUAGAGUCCGGGGCUUGUGCAUCCUUAAUUCAAGUAACAGCACUUGAAUUAAAGGUUUAUCCUAACUAUAAAGCUAUACAUUUUUCUCAUGAUGUAUUUGAAUAUAUUCUUUUUAAGGAAAGAAAAAAAUGUAGUCAUAUAAAUGUUCAGGUCCUGAAGUAUAUGUAUGUCACUUAUUGCUAUUCUCUUCUGUAUUUUAUGUGAAUGCCACAAACAUUUUUAAAAUUUUAAAGAAGUAAACAUAUAUACAACAUAGAUUUUUAAAAUGAGAUAUAUGCUGAAACAAAGUUUUGAGGAGGUAUAAUGUUCCGAAAUGUAAUUAGAUGACAAAUUAUUUCUGGUACACAUUUCCUAGCACUUAUAUUUUUCACCCACUCAUAAAACAAUGUGAAGUAGGUCAUACUGAGUCACCAAAUUAAACAUUCAAAUUAUUCUACAUCUCCAAAAGUAGCCCAUAAUUAAAAGGAAUUUCAUAUUGGAAUAACUGGACCUAAUUUGCUUAUUCAUUAAAUUGUGUCCAAGUGUAGUCUCUGAAUUAUAUCAAUUAGGGAACUAGAAGGCAUACUUAAAAAGAGCUGAAUUAACAGUGCAAAUAAAGUAACCACUGUGGAUACUUUUGAAAAUUCUAGUAUUAAUUUUGUUAGUCAAUGCAAUGGAAAUACAUCAGUAGCAUAGUAAUAAAAAAUAUUUCUUUUUAUAGCAUCUUUGAUAAUUAUAAAAUUAAUAAAGAUUUAUUAUUUAAAAAAACAGAAUAAUUCCUACAUCAUUAAAAUCACAAGUAACUCCACUGUCUAAUUACAACAACUAUUGCGGAUUUUAUGUAUUUUCUUAUCAUUUUAUUUAUUUAUAAUUGAUAGGUGAGUAUUAAAAUUAGCCUGACAUUAUUUUAUGAUUAAUAAUUUAUUUAAAAUAUAUUAUAUGAUUAAGUGUCUAUUUAAAAUUAAGCCUGUUAAAAAUAAAACUAUUGAUCUUUCCUAUCCUCUAAUCCCAAAUUUGCUCCUCCCAAAUUUAAACCCAGGUGAGUAAUUCCAACUCUGUUCCUCCCAUAGUUCAGGCCAAAACAUUGCCAAUAUCAUGGACUUUUGCCUCUAAUAUACAGGGUUCAAAUAUAUAUUGUUUGCAUAGAACAAUUUCAAUUUAUAAUUUACAUAGUUUAUAGUUUACAACAGCUUCAGGAAUAGUUUACACGAUAGUUUCCUCACUAAUUUCCCUGUUUUCUCUUUUGCUAUGCUAUGGUCUAUUUUCACAGAUCAGUCAAACUGUUACUGCUAAUUCUUUAAAGAGGCGAUUGCUUUUCUGUUUAAAACCCUUCAUGGCUGCCAAUUAAAUAAACAAAAGUUCUUACCAUUUUCUAAGAAGCUUUAUGUGACCAUCUCCCCAUGGAGUGUGACCUCAUCUCCUCUGCUGUAUCACAUUGGCAUCCUUAGUGGAACCUCACGGGUGCGUUCAUACACCAAGGCCUCAUUUGCUAUUUCUGCUCCCUGAAAAUAUGUUCUCUCAAUUAUGCUCUUGGCUCAUUCUCUCAUAACCAUUCAUUGUAUUCAGAUGAUACCACCCAUCGAGGCUUUCAGCAACCAUCUUGUUCAGUAUCCAGCACCUCUUGUGCCCAGAACUCUCUAUUCCCCUUCUUUGCCACAUUUUUUAGAAUAGAACUUAAACCAUCUGGCAUACAACACAUGAUACUUUGUGGUAUUAAUUACUGUUUUUCUCCCAACACUGGAACAACAGCUCUGUGAAGCCAAGACAUUCUGAAUGUUAUUUUCACUAUUUUUUCCCCAGUCCCUACAAAUGGGCCUAGAAUAUACAUAGUAGAUGCUCAAUAAUUUGUUGGGGAACAAAUGAAAGUUGAUCCUCAAUAAUAUUUUAUAAUGAAUAGGCUUACAAUUUAUGAAAAAGCCAUAACUUAUUUAGCCAUCUCCCUAAAUUUGCAUGCUUUUGUAAGUAAUAUCAUGGUUGUGAAAACAAUUAUGUGUGUAUAUACGUGUAUGUAUAUAGGUAUUUUAUGGCAAUGAUAUACAUACAUGUAUAGUCUUCUGUAAUAUUUACAGGUGCUUUUGUUUUGCUUGCAUUAUGCAGCAUAUAUGAUUUUAUAGCUAGUAUUCUGGAUGUCCACGAAACAUCAAUUAAAAAGAAACUAAUAUUAUUAAAUAACAGACCUGUUAAAGUGGUAGUCAAAAUAUUCUUUCCCCAUUAUAUACCUCAGAGAUUUCUGAUGAACCCUUUUGUAAUCUAACUGUGGCUGUAAUGAUAAUAAAUUUUUUCUAGAUAGUUUUACAAACAAUUUUUAAUCUUCAAAAUUCAAGGCUAAUGUAUGCAUGUUGAAUGAUUAUGGCAUUCAUAUAUAAGCUAUGUUUGGAACCAGAACUUACCAGUGCUUAUAUUUAUGUGUAGGUAUGAUAGACAAAGCAUAGGAAUAACAAGAUAUCAUUAGUUUACUAUUCAUUAAAAAUAUGAGUAGAACUGGUUUUGCUCUGUAGUUUUUGCUAUGAUAAACCUUAGCCAUGAAAAUAACCUGCUAUUGAGCAUGUGUGUCAUCCAUCUUAUGACUCACCAAAAAUAGGGAAAUGAGUCUAGAACCAUCAAAGCAGUUGACAACAGAAGUGAGAUUUCAGCUUGGAUACAUUUUAUUAUAAAAGUAGUAUAAUUAUAUUCAAGAAUUUUUUAACCUUUUAUCUCACUAAAUAAAUUUCAAUAUUCAUUAUAAAUAAUAAAUUCAAGCAUUUAAAAUAUUAUUUAUAUAUUCUUAAUUUUUGUUGUUUGUUUUAAUUACACAUGUCAAUCCUGUUAUGGAAUGACAUCAACAUCCCCUUGGCAAGAGGAUAUUUUUAAAUUUCCACAUGUACAUUUUAAGAGUUGAUACAACCCUAUUUAUCUAUGAUUUUCUCUUUCCUAUAAUUAGUAAUUUUCACUGUAGAAGACUCACUUAUAAAAGUGUAUAUUAUUAUCAUAUUUGGAUGAUAAACUAAAAUUUUGAAAUAUUUAGAAGCAUUGUUAUGAACUCAUUAAAAUUAUCAGAAUCAAUUCAUAUAAAAUGAUAUUUAAUAUUUUCUUAUACAUAAAUUAGUGACAUUAAUUGUUUUAUACUUUUAAUUUAAUUUGAUUAUGAAAACUUUCUAUGUGUUUUUGAAUUUGUGUAACCUUAGACAGAUUGCUAAACCCAUUUCAUCAUGCAUUAAUAGAAUAGGAUUAGAUAAUCUCUAAGGGUCCUUGGCUCUAAGAUUAUAUGAUUGUAAUUAAUGGCACUGCAGAUCUUGUAGAGGGACAUUAAAAUGGACCCAUACCUGAAGUUACUUUUCAAUUGAAUUAGUACUUAGGGAGUUGAGACAGUAGAAACAAGGAAGGCAAAACAGUCUUUCAUAACAGAUCAUAAUAAAUUUGCUAAUAUUAUAGAAAGGUCAUUGGAAAGUGUUUGUCCUUUUUUUUUUAAUAGGACCUUCCCAUUUUCACUUACAGUUUUGAAUACAUUUAUACAUUUCCUUCUUCAAGCGUCAUUUAAAUUAAAAGUGUUUCUAUUUUCUCCAGAUGGAGUUUCAAUGCUCAUAAACAUUUACAUUAGGAGAGAAUAUAGUACCUAUUAUCUAACUUAAGUUGAAAAAGAAUGAAACUGUAAAAUAUAUUUACCAAAAUAACUAAAGAUUUAUUUAUCUUCAGUAGGCCUCAAUUAGUUUACCUUUAAAAAGCAUUCAUUGAUACAAAUUUUAAAAAUCCAUGUAACAGACAUCAAUCAAAUGUGAUUUUUCUCCAGUUUAUUAUUUUCUGCCAGGGGAAAUAAAAUGCAAUAAUCACAUUUUAAAUAUACAUCUUUUUAAAUGAUUCUGUUGUUAUACAUAUGAUUGUUAUUAAUAUUUUUACUAUUAUUGAAUGCCCCUGUACUGACCUUUCCAAUUUGAUAGUGCAGUAAGAAAUAAACUUUUUUUUAAUAUUGAGAAUUGGAAAUGACCUGGUAAUUUCUUUGUACUAGAGACCACUAAUUGUCCAUAUAAUGCAUUCUUUCAUUUUGUUUAGUAAUAGAAUCCUAAGUACAUAUGACCACAAGCAGGAGAUUACCUUCUAUAGUCUCUUAUCAGUGAUUAAUUUUGAUCAAAUAUAAUAUAAAUUAUAUUAUGAGCAUAAAUUUAAGUUAAUCUCCAUAAAGACAAAGCUGAUUGUUUUUACAUCUCUUCUUACACAUUUUACUGUCUGGAAUGCAGAAGUAUUGCUGAACUUAGCCAUGAGGAUGAAACACUAAGAUAGGAUUAUAAAGAGAAUACAAGAUGAAAAUCUCCUGGGGCCCGGGAUGAAUUCAUGGAAAAAACAUCCCCACCAACUCUCUUAAUUGUUGGAGAGAAAUAUAAGCCUACAAUAAGGGUCACUCCUUAUACUCAUCAUUUUUGAGUUAGAGAUAUUGACAAGUGUAUCAAACUAUAUAUUUUCUCCCACAAGACAUUGAGGGGCACACUUCUUUUAUUCUCCAAAAGUAACAAAAAAUGCUUUGGUGUCUAAUUUUUAGCCUGCAAGGGCUGUCAUAGUGUUGUUUUCAAAGACUUACAUGUUUUAUUUCCUUACCUCACUGCAACAUUAUAAAUUUAUCUUCUGUGCUAACAUCAUGAUAGCAUCUAAUGGUUCCAAGAGUGAAGAUUAUCACUAGUUUAUGAACCUUUGUAUUCCCCAAAAGAGAAAGAGAUAUUACAUAACCAAAUUCCAAGUAUGAUUAACCAAUAUUUUUCUAAAAUGUUCCACUUCUCAAUUCUGUCUACUAAUUUGAAAUAACUGAGCAAAAUACAUUUGCAACAUGAUAAUUCUUCAAACUCGGCUCUUAUACCAAGCAGUACUGAUGAUUGGGGCAUUAACAAAACCAAUAAAAUUGUUUUGCAAAACAAAAACGAAGUGAAAAAUAUGCUCAGCUUAUCUUACACAAUAUUGUUUUCUAUAUCAAAAAUGGCUAGAUAGCCUUAGAAAAAAUGGCAUAUACAUUAUUUACCUAAAAGUUGUAGUAAUCUGGGUAGAAGCUUAAAGUGACCUAUCCUGUCAUAUAGUUGUCAUUAACUAGGAUAUUAAUUAUUCUUAAAAGGAUGCAAAAUUUUUCCAAGGGAUGUGCAUCUGCAGACAGUUUUAAGGGACUAUUGUCAAGAACUGUGAAGGAUCUGAGCUUACAAGUUAGCCUGCUUCAGUUUUAUGGAUGUUGGCAGAAGACACAUAACUGUUUGGUCAGAGACAGAAAGACUUCCAUUAUUUGCAGUACAGCACAGAGUUGCACGAGCUUCAUCUUUGCUCUGGUUCCUGUUUUCCCUCAAGUUUACUGGAGAUGAUGACAAGGAGUUCAAGUUGAUGCUACACACAGUUUGUGUCACAGAUGAAGAACUCCAAGUAAAGGAAACUUAAAUCUUUAAUAAAUGAGCAGUAAGCACACUUGUCUGAUGUUUUCUGUGGAGGAAACACUAUCUUCAUUUUACUUGAAAAUAAACAAAUCUGUUCUCUCAUCCAUAAAUAAACAAUAUCUUGAUCUUCCAGGGCUAUCCACUAUAUAAAGAUCUUUAAAAAGGAAAACCUGUAAUAAAUGUGAAACUAGUGCCUUUCUAUUUGCAAGAUGCACAGAAAUGCAUGAGACCAAUUGAAAAUUGCCUGUGAACAAACACGCUUCCAGAUUUUUAGCUUGCUCUUUUCUAAACAUGAAAAUUCUCAGAAAGUACGUGUUCUCAAAAUUCAUGCCAUUUCUUUUUUCCCAAGUUCCUUUAUCACGACCAUCUUAUUUUUCACAUUACCAAAUGAUGCACUUCCCUAAACUAUCCAAAAUUUUCCAUGGUGUUAUAGUUUCUAAGGUACUGAGAAGAAACUCAUAGGUGAAGCAUAUUUAUAAAUUGUUUACAACAUAAUAUUGAAUACAUAUUUUCUCCUUUUCCCUGUCACUAGUAACUUUUUCUCUGCUUGAUUAAUUCAUAUCACAUAUUUAAUAGCCCAAUUUAUUCAGAACAUACUGAGAGGUGAAGCCAGCUGGACUUCCUAGGUGGAGUGGGGACUUGGAGAACUUUUUUGUCUAGCAAGAGGAUUGUAAAAUGCACCAAUCAGCGCUCUGUAAAACGCACCAAUCAGCAGGAUCCUAAAAGUAGCCAAUUGCAGGGAGGAUUGAAAAAAAGGGCACUCUGGUAGGACAAAAAUGGAACAUGGGAGGGGCCAAUACGUGAAUAAAAGCUGGCCACCCCAGCCAGCAGCAGCAACCUGCUGGUGUCACCUUCCAUGCUGUGGGAGCUUUCUCCUUUUGCUCUUCACAAUAAACCUUGCUACCGCUCACUCGUUGGGUCCACACGAUCUUUAAGAUCUGUAACAUGGGAAAGGUCCGUGACUCCAUUCUUGAAGUCAGCGAGACCACGAACCCACCAAACCCACCGGCAGGAACCAACUCCGGACAUAAUACCACAUGGCAAGCUCUGUUCUAAGCAUUGAUGUGUACAGGUUAUUUACUCCUCAUAAGAACACUGAAAGAUAAUUGCCACUUACUGGCUCCUUCUUAAGAUGAGUAAGCUAGAGACAGAUACUCAUGAUUUGCUCAAGACUUCAGAACUUGUCUGUGGCAGAGCAGAGAUGAGAAUUAAAUUUGCUAGCCACCAUUUCUUGGAAUUUAAACACAUUGUUAUGCCACCUCUUAGUAUAUGUAAUUAAUGACAUGCAGUUCACAGAAUUAUGUUAUUUAAAUUAUAUUGGACAGAAAUAAAAAAGUACGGUUGACACUUGAACAACAUGAGCUUGAGCUGUGUGCAUCCCUUAUAUAGAGAUUAUUUUAAUUAAAAAAAUCAGCAUCUGCAUUGAAAUGUGGAUCAAAAUACAGUAGCCACAGGAUGAAAAACCCGCAGAUAUGGAGGACUGACUUUUUGUAUACUCUGGUUCCACAGGAUUACUUGAAUAUGUGCUGAUUUUGGUAUCCUCUGGGGUCCUGGACCCUGUCUCUUGAGGAUAUCAAGGGACCACUGUAUUUUUACUUAAAAUGACAAGAGUAGAGAAUAUAUGCAGAUAUAUCCCGAGGAACAUCUUUUAGGUAUAUGCUUUUCUAUUUUAAUUCCUCUUAAAAAAACACACACAUCUUAGAACUUACAAUGUAUUGAUACAAAAAUAUGGCCAUUAUUUAUGUAGGAAAAGUUUAUAUACUCCUCCGGAGGGUAGGAAAUGAGAUUGCAGUGCACAUGGGGUUCUGCCACUCACAGUGUAGGAUGUUUCACCAUGUCUUCCUGAAAUGAUUUGCAAAUAGUCAAGAACAAAUGACUGUGGUGAUAGAGAUGUAUUUAUUGCUGCCACCUUGUUCCCACUUCACCGUUGCAUAUUUGUACACAGGACACAUAUUUAUUCUUUUAAGUUUAGAUUUUACUGAGAAAUGAGGACCUUAUCUGGACUUCACUGGGAGAAUUAUGAGUGGCCAGAGAUACUACAUUUUGAGCUGGAUGCCAGACCUUGAAAGAACUCUGCAUUUUUCAUUUUGAGAGAAGUCGGUGUGUUUUAUAAUGGGAGGAAGAUUAAAGCAGGUAUUUUGGCAUCAGAAGGACUGACCUUGACAGAGAUUGGUGAGAUAACAUUAUUUCUUUCUUUGGACCACAAGGAAAUGCUGUAUUUUUCAGCCUCAAUUGCAGGUAGGAUGAGACCAUUUCACUGGUGAAUGAAAUGUAGGUAGAAGUUAUAUUUCCCACUUUUAGACUGAGCUAUAAGAUACCUCACGCAAUGCUUCUCAUACUCCUCUUUAUAUUAAAUGCAGAGGAUUCAGUGAAAACCUUUAAGGAAUUUCAGAAAGUUAAUCCUCUACAGAAUUAUUAUAUGAAUGAGAAGAAAAAAAAUUGUGUUAAGUCACAGAUAUUUGCAGUUUGGUUCAGAAACUAAUAUUAAUUGCCCUGACUAAUACACUGAGAUACUAGUGAUGAUUCUGCAAUGACUGCUUUUACAGUGAAAGUGACCACAGUAGCAUGCAUGGAUAAAUUUAAGGUGAUAAACAUUAGGAUUGCUUACAUAUUUUUUGGCUUCUUCAUGCACAUGGUAGGAUAUAGCUCACUGCCCUGUUUAAUUCAGUUAUGGAAUGUGAUUUCCUUUUGCUUAUUGAAAUGUUAGUAGACUAAAGUGUCUGUUUCCUUCUAGAGGCAAAAAUUCAGAGCGUGCCUCACAACAUUCUUUUUUUCCUUGACUACAGUAACUUUCAGUGUUCUGGAGUGGCUGCUUUGUCCUCUAGAUCCUGGUAUAAAGGUGACAAUGACCCAUGAGUAGAAUCAUAAGCAACACCAAGGACAUGUGAAAUGAGCAACUUAUGAAUGAAUUGAUAUAGGCUCCUGACAUUUAGAAAUUGUUUUGUUAUCACUCAGCUUAGUUUUUCUGAUGUAAUUUAAUUGCUCUAAGGAAACAGUAUCUGCUGUGAUUUGUUACUGUCUCUUACUGCCCAGUGGUUGGCAAGGCCAAAAGUUCUAGACGCGGCAGUAUUCUGAGAGUUGAGAGCCAAUAUAUUUUCUUGGCAGUGCUCAUGCUCAUGGUGCACUUGAAGCUGUGUCGAUGCUGCCAUAGGAACACCACAAGCCAACCUUGUUUCUUCCAUGGUUGCACUCUUUAUGUAUUCAAUUACAGACCUCAGGUGUGUCUGACAUGAAACAAACAUACGCAGGCAUCAUGACGGUAAUCAACUGAUUGCUUCAAUGUGCUGGUCUUUGUAGGUCUUGAGAGUAUCAACCUGGAAAAACAAGCUUUUAACUUUAAUAAUUUCAGCAAGUUAAUAUAAAGGGAAGUUCCACAUAUAGGUCUGGAUCAAGUUUUUCUAUGAAGUAGUUGCCAAUUAGAAAAGUUUCCUAAACAAUUAACCCUAGCAAAAAAUUGUGUAAAGAUUCCAUUCACUUAUUACACAAAACAGUAUAUUUUAUGAGUGCUACCUUCUACUUUGGCCAUUAGAUAAAAGGUCUCUUCACCUUUCUUUUGUCGUGUUUUGCUUAAAUAUUUGGGCAUAUAGCUAUAACCCAUCAUUCCCUUUUGAAAACAAAGAAUAAUAACCAAAGUAAUAUAAUCUAAACCUGCUUUAAAGUCCGAGUGUAGUUUAUGUUAUAUGUUCCUGUAAUUAUUUGUCAUCUGUGGCUCAAAUCCCUUUUACUAAAAUACUUUGCACUUCACCAUAAACAAACUUGUGCAAACAAACAAGACACAGAAGCGAUAUAAAACUCCCAAAAUCAAGUUACUAAGUUUCAGUAACAAAUAAACCUGAAUGUGUAAUUAAAUAGAUUAUAAUAAUGCUGAAAAUUCUGUAUUUUAGGUUCUUUAUGAUCUAGAGUUCUUCACAUGUAUUUAGUAAACCAUUCCAAGUGCUAUAUUUCUUGCUAAUAAAACCAAAUAACAAUGUUCAGGGUAAAUUUUAAUGAAUUAAUGCUUAUAAUGCAAACUAUGCUUUCAUCAAUUUUAUUCAGAAGCACACGAUUAAUUAUACAACAGAUAUUUUAUAUGAUUGCUCAGAGUAAAGACUAUUUUUAUUUGCUUGAAUGACAACAUAAUUUAUUAAAUGAAUAAAUACACGGAUUCGUCUUCUCCAUCACCAUUUUAGGCAUGUUUUUGUGACAUAUACCUUCUUCACCAUGAACUCCUUCCUAACCAACCAUUAUAUCUAAAAUAAAUUAUCAGCAAACAUAAAUAUUGUGCUAUUCCAUAACUACCUCACAUGAGCUAGAUGAUGGGAGGCAUAAUUCAUAAUAAGCAGACCCUACCUUUAAAUUCUAUAAAGCCACAGCAUUUAAAUUAUAACUAUGCCACACAGCAGUAACCUAUUUUCCUAUUAAUUAUAUCCCAUAAAAGCAAUAUACCUUCACUAAUUAAUUAUACUUGAAGUAACAACUAUGGCUUAAUUAAAUGAACCAUUCCUAAUAAUGAAACCUUAAAAUAAUUGGACUCUUCUGUCUAGAGGCAGUAACAAUUAUUGUCAUUGGAAAGGAUUUCAAACAUGGCUAUGCUAAGCAACACUGAUUCAUAACUGACAUUGAACCUGAGAUUUCCUAGAGCAGUAGCUCUCAAAACCUUUCGUGAAGGGCCAACUAUUAAGUAUUUUAGAAUGUAUGUGCCAUGUGAUCUCUGUCACAAGUACCAGUAUUUGCCAUCAUAGUGCAUAAGUAGCCGUAAACAAUAUGUAAAAUAAAAGGAUGUCACUUUAUUCUAAUAAAACUUUGUUUACCAAAAUGCAUCAGUGGCCUGAUUAGCUCUGUGCUUUGUAGUUUGAUGACCUCUUAUGUAGAAUCGAAUUAUUGAACUCAUCUCUACUAUGUUUCCAGAUUUGCUAGUAUUGUAUUCUAGGUUUCUAUCUUUCUCAUCUAUCCAUCUUAAUGGUUAAGUUUUACAAACCCUUAUCAUAUAUAAUAUUAUUUAAAUUAUAUUAAUCUGCAUUUAACACACAUCUUUCUCUAUUUUGUAAUUUAGCAUUUUUGAGCCACUAAAGUUUAAAUUACAGUAGAGAUGUAGACAUUAUGUAAAGGUAUAUUACUUUGUUGUAUAUGUUCAUAAAAGACAAUAAUGGCCACAUUGAAAUGACACAAUAUGAUCCACCAAAAGUGAGUAAGGCAGAGAUUGUGUACAUAAGUAACCAAGUACAAGUUCUGUCCUUCAAGUGAACCCCUACAUCAUUAUUAUUCCCUUAUGGUGGAAAUUCCAGAAGUAGAUAGCACAUAAAUUUUACAUCUUCUUAUCUGAUAUAUGGAUAACUUUUUUAUCAAGUAUUCCUUUUUUUUUUUUUUCUUUUUUCUGAGAUGGAAUCUCGCUCUGUCACCCAGGCUGGAGUGCAGUGCUGCGAUCUCGGCUCACUGCAAGCUCUGCCUCCUGGGUUCACACCAUUCUCCUGCCUCAGCCUCCUCCCGACUAGCUGGCACUACAGGUGCCCAUCACCACGCCUGACUAACUUUUCCCUAUUUUUAGUAGAGACGGGGUUUCACCCUGUUAGCCAGAAUGGUCUCGAUCUCCUGACUUCAUAACCGCCCACCUUGGCCGCCCAAAGUGCUGGGAUUAGAGGCGUGAGCCACCGCGCCCAGCCCAUAUGCCUUCUUUCAUUCAUGGUUUACUAAUUAUAAUAUUCUAUUUAUGUAAUUGAGAAUUCCUUAUUCCGUUUUUCUUUCUCAUUUUCUUUCAUCCCAAUCAUUUUCAGUCAAAAUGUGUAUAUAUAUAUGUGUGUGUGUAUAUAUAUGUGUGUAUAUAUGUGUGUAUAUAUGUGUGUAUAUAUGUGUGUAUAUAUGUGUAUAUAUAUGUGUGUGUAUAUAUAUGUGUAUAUAUAUGUGUGUAUAUAUGUGUAUAUAUAUGUGUAUAUAUAUGUGUGUAUAUAUAUGUGUAUAUAUAUGUGUGUAUAUAUAUGUGUAUAUAUAUGUGUGUAUAUAUAUAUGUGGAUAUAUAUGUGUGUAUAUAUAUAUAGAUGGGAAAGAAAUACACAGCAAUCUAGGAAGCAUUGUGAAAAAAUGGUGUGAACGUAUGCAUCAAAAAGUAAUAUUACAAUUUUAUUCAGUAUCCCAUCCAAACUUUUCUCCUGCAGGGCUUUCAUGCUUGCUAUUGUCAAAUCUUCUCCCUUCUGCAUAACUUUCAUUUAUCUUCUCUAUUAUUGCUAUUGUCACAUAAAUGUGCUUUUAUUUAUCACAUUAGAAAAAUAGUCAUUCUCCUCAGUCUACAUGUCUCACAAAUAUAGAACUACUUUUUUUUUCUUCUUUAGAGCAAACUUUCUCAAAAGUAUUCAGAAAAGUACAAUGUGUAAAACAAGCAGCAAGAGAGGACAUCUGUGUUAGGCUGAAUAAUGGUCUCAAGAGAUGUCAGGUCUUAAUCCUUAGUACCUGUAAAUGUAACCUUUAUGUCAAAGAGACUUGCAGAUGUGAGUAAGUGAAGAAUUUUGUGAUGGAAGAUUAUCAUGAAUUAUCUUGGUGGGCUCUAAAUGCAAUCUUAAGUGUCCUUAUAAGAGUGAUGGAGAGGGAGAUUUGACAUAGAAUCUAGGUUGUGUGAUCAUGAAAGUGGAGAAAUAUUUGAAAAUUAUAUGCUGCUAUCUUUGAAGAUAGAAGAAGGGGACUUUGAGACGAGAAAUGUAGUUCUAGAAGCUGCGUUUCUGGAAUAAUUUCUAGAAUUACUCUCCCCUGAGUUCUCUGGAAAAAAUAGGGUGCUGAUCACACCUUGGUUUUAGACCACUGAUACUGAUUAUGAAUUUUUGGCCUUCAGAACUAUAAGAGAAAAAGUCUGUGUUGCUUUAAGCUACCCAUUUUGUGGCAAUUUGUUACAGCAGCAUAGGAAAAUAACAGAGAAUCUCUUCUUGUUCCCAGGUUUAAAAGCAAGUCUUCUAACAUUCCCACAUUAUUAUGUCAUAAGAUAUUGUUUAUAGGAUUUCAAAAGAUACACUUUAUCAACUUAAUGAAGUGCCUUUUAAAUCCUAGUUUAAUAAGAGCAUAUAUAUAUACAGUAAAUUAAUGAUGAAUUUUAUCAAAUACUUCUUUGUAUCAAUAUCUGUUAGGAUACAGAUCUUAUGUAUCUGCAUCUACUGAAAUUAUGUGAUUUUUCUCAUUUACUCUGUGAAUGUGAUGAAUAAUCUUUUUAAUUGAAUCUCAAUUAUAGAGAAUUGAAUUAAUCAUCAUUUUGAUUAAUGACAUACUUUCAUCUUAUGCCUAUUCAUGGUCACCUUUUAUAUGUAGGUAAUUAAAUAAUAACUUUUACAGGGUUGGAAGUAACCAGCAUAUAGCACCCUGCAUAAAAGCUAAAACCUGAAGAAUGACCACAUUUAGCCAUAUAGUUUCUCACUCCCAUCUCAUCCUCUAUAAUUACCAGUGUUUGAACCACAACCUCUUUCUUCUCUAAACCACUAGCUGAAAUCUAAACUCAGCACUCCAACCUCCCAUUUAUUGAUUUCUGCUAGGCUUCUUGACGUCUCACCUUGUGCAUACAUAUCUUUGAUACUGGCCACACUUAAGGGGCAUUUGUAUGCAGAUAUUCAGGCUCUCUCUCUGUGGUUACUUCCUUCUUGGAAAUUUGUCUCGUGAGCCCCAUACACACUAGAUACUCUGAACUCUAAUCUCUGUCACCUCAACACAGUAAAAUUUCACUUUCUGUGUAUGCUUUCUUUCUUCACAUCAGUAUUUGGGAAAUGUUAUUAGAGGAAAAAUGUCUGAGUGAAUGUAAUUUAUAGUCUAUAAUUAUUUCUUUUUAAUAAUAAUCCCACUCAAGCUCUGUAUACAUUGAUUUUUCUCCAGUGUCUUCCAACAGUUGUCUAACAUAUUUUGCCCAGCUUUUAUAGCCAACUUCAGGGUGUGAGUUUGUGCUACUUUAUCAUGGCCUGAACCUGAAAUCCUCUAAUUUUAUUGAAAUGGAUGGUUAUUAUAGUUCAUGUUGCAUUUCUUGUGUUUCCAAUACGUUUUUAGAUUUUCUAUUUCUCCACAAUUCUGGAAUUAAGAAUCCAUUUGUUUCAUUCUAAUCUAGUUUCUUAUACAUAAUGCUAAAGGGAGUGUUGUUUCAAUGACUGUCAAUAACUUCUACAUGGGCACCAUUCACAUUUCCCAAAGUCUCAGCAGCAUUUCAAAUUGUUGAAAAUUUCUUCCUCUUCAAAACAUUAUUCAUUAUAGAGUUCUUUAAAAAUAUGCCAACCUUGCUUUUCUUCUUGCCACCUCAGCUUUUUAUUCCCAACUCAAUUGCAACACAUUUUUUUUUCAGCUCAUUUGGCGUUAAUUUCUAUUGUCUGUUUCAACCCUUCCUUGGUGAUUUAACAAUAAAAAUAAAUAAUUCCUUUAAAAGGCUCAUAAGUGUCGGUAACUCCCAUAGCUUUACUUUUACCUGUGACUAUUCUUCAACCUUCAGACUUAGACAGAAAUUUGUUUAAUUACCAUCUUGCAUUUCUCUCAUGCCAAACGUCCACAUGACUGAUAGUCCUGUUAUUUCUUUCUUCAAAGUAUAUAUCAAAUGCAUUCACUCUUUCCAUUGCCAUUGCUACUAUUACUGUUUUAGUCAAUUCUGACUGCUAUCACAAAGACCUAUAGACUAGGUGGCUUAGAAAUAACAAAAAUCAAUUUUUUCACAGUUCUAAAGGCUAGAAGUCUGAGACCAUGGUACCAGAGUGACCAGGUUUCAGUGAUAUCUCUCUUCUAAGUUGCAGACUACCAUUUUCUUCUUGUAUCCUCACAUGUCAGAGAGUGAGAGAACUCUCUUGGGUCUAUUAUAUAGGGGAACUAGUUCCAUUUAGAAGGGCUCCAACCUCAUGAUGUAACCACCUCCUGAAAGUCCCACCUCCUAAUACCAUCAUAUUAAGGGUUAGGAUUUCCACCUAUAAGUUUCAGAGACAGGGUGGCAACAGCCAUGCAGUCCAUUGCAAUCACUAUCCAAAACAUCACCGUCAUCAUUAUCUCCAUUCCUUUUUUUUUAUUAUUAUUAUACUUUAUGUUUUAGGGUACAUGUGCACAAUGUACAGGUUAGUUACAUAUGUAUACAUGUGCCAUGCUGGUGUGCUGCACCCAUUAACUCAUCAAUUAGCAUUAGGUGUAUCUCCUAAAGCUAUCCCUCCCCCCUCCCCCCACCCCACAACAGUCCCCAGAGUGUGAUGUUCCCCUUCCUGUGUCCAUGUGUUCUCAUUGUUCAGUUCCCACCUAUAAGUGAGAAUAUGCGGUGUUUGGUUUUUUGUUCUUGCGAUAGUUUACUGAGAAUGAUGAUUUCCAAUUUCAUCCACGUCCCUACAAAGGACAUGAACUCAUCAUUUUUUAUGGCUGCAUAGUAUUCCAUGGUGUAUAUGUGCCACAUUUUCUUAAUCCAGUCUAUCAUUGUUGGACAUUUGGGUUGGUUCCAAGUCUUUGCUAUUGUGAAUAGUGCCGCAAUAAACAUACGUGUGCAUGUGUCUUCAUAGCAGCAUGAUUUAUAGUUCUUUGGGUAUAUACCCAGUAAUGGGAUGGCUGGGUCAAAUGGUAUUUCUAGUUCUAGAUCCCUGAGGAAUCGCCACACUGACUUCCACAAUGGUUGAACUAGUUUACAGUCCCACCAGCAGUGUAAAAGUGUCCCUAUUUCUCCACAUCCUCUCCAGCACCUGUUGUUUCCUGACUUUUUAAUGAUUGCCAUUCUAACUGGUGUGAGAUGGUAUCUCAUUGUGGUUUUGAUUUGCAUUUCUCUGAUGGCCAGUGAUGGUGAACAUUUUUUCAUGUGUUUUUUGGCUGCAUAAAUGUCUUCUUUUGAGAAGUGUCUGUUCAUAUCCUUUGCCCACUUUUUGAUGGGGUUGUUUGUUUUUUUCUUGUAAAUUUGUUUGAGUUCACUGUAGAUUCUGGAUAUUGGCCCUUUGACAGAUGAGUAGGUUGCGAAAAUUUUCUCCCAUUCUGUAGGUUGCCUGUUCACUCUGAUGGUAGUUUCUUUUGCUGUGCAGAAGCUCCUUAGUUUAAUUAGAUCCCAUUUGUCAAUUUUGGAUUUUGUUGCCAUUGCUUUUGGUGUUUUACACAUGAAGUCCUUGCCCAUGCCUAUGUCCUGAAUGGUAAUGCCUAGGUUUUCUUCUAGGGUUUUUAUGGUUUUAGGUCUAAUGUUUAAGUCUUUAAUCCAUCUUGAUUUAAUUUUUGUAUAAGGUGUAAGGAAGAGAUUCAGUUUCAGCUCUCUACAUAUGGCUAGCCAGUUUUCCCAGUACCAUUUAUUAAAUAGGGAAUCCUUUCCCCAAUGCUUGUUUUUCUCAGGUUUGUCAAAGAUCAGAUAGUUGUAGAUAUGUGGCGUUAUUUCUGAAGUCUCUGUUCUGUUCCAUUGAUCUAUAUGUCUGUUUUGGUACCAGUACCAUGCUGUUUUGGUUACUGUAGCCUUGUAGUAUAGUUUGAAGUCAGGUAGUGUGAUGCCUCCAGCUUUGUUCUUUUGGCUUAGGAUUGACUUGGCAAUGCGGGCUCUUUUUUGGUUUCAUAUGAACUUUAAAGUAGUUUUUUCCAAUUCUGUGAAGAAAGUCAUUGGUAGCUUGAUGGGGAUGGCAUUGAAUCUGUAAAUUACCUUGGGCAGUAUGGCCAUUUUCACGAUAUUGAUUCUUCCUACCCAUGAGCAUGGAAUGUUCUUCCAUUUGUUUGUAUCCUCUUUUAUUUCAUUGAGCAGUGGUUUGUAGUUCUCCUUGAAGAGGUCCUUCACAUCCCUUGUAAGUUGGAUUCCUGGGUAUUUUAUUCUCUUUGAAGCAAUUGUGAACGGGAGUUCACUCAUGAUUUGGCUCUCUGUCUGUCUGUUAUUGGUGUAUAAGAAUGCUUGUGAUUUUUGUACAUUGAUUUUGUAUCCUGAGACUUUGCUGAAGUUGCUUAUCAGCUUAAGGAGAUUUUGGGCUGAGACAAUGGGGUUUUCUAGAUAUACAAUCAUGUCGUCUGCAAACAGGGACAAUUUGACUUCCUCUUUUCCUAAUUGAAUACCCUUUAUUUCCUUCCCCUGCCUAAUUACCCUGGCCAGAACUUCCAAUGCUAUGUUGAAUAUGAGUGGUGAGAGAGGGCAUCCCUGUCUUGUGCCAGUUUUCAAAGGGAAUGCUUCCAGUUUUUGCCCAUUCAGUAUGAUAUCAUUAUCUCCAUUCUAUAUUUGGAUAAUAGUCUCUGACUUUGUCUUCUUGCAUUUAUUCUUUUCCCCUAAAGUGAUUCUUCAAAGAGUAAUGUCAAAGAGAACCAGAGCCAGAGGGUAAUUAAAGCAGUAAAGAAAGAUUUUAUUCAGAAAUUAUUACAACACAGGAAAAGAGACUUUAGUAGAGAAAUGAGCUCAAUUCCAAAUACAAGCACACAUGGAAAUUUAUAGCAAAAGAGCAGUGUGAAGGGGUCAGUGGAUGGAAAAUUAUUAAGAGGAGACGUCAAAAGUAGGGGAACUCUUGCUAAACCAAAUUAACAGGAUUCUUGCUGAAGGCAGCUCAGGGUGAUCAGAUAUCAAGAUUCUCUCUAUAUGGACUUAAGGAUUCUUGUUAAAAGUGAGCUAUGGAGACUAGGCAAGGGGCCUAGGUGAAGAUCUAGUUGAGAGGAGAGCUCAAAAAUCUGACUAAAGUUUGGUGAAGGAGAGAGUCUUUGUCAGUAUUUGUGUUAAUUUUUUUUAAUUACUAAAAGUGAGGCUUAUUUGCAUUCUUCAAGGACUUACCAAUUAAUAAGCUAUGUUAAAAUCUCCAGUUUUAAUGUCUAUUUCUUCUUUCAACUUCUGUUAUUUCUGCUUUAUGAAAAUUGUAAUUUUGUGUAUGUUAUUAAUAUAUAUUUUAUUUUUAAUGUAGAAUGAAGCAUGAAUCCUUCUGUAGAAUAAAUUUCCCUUCCUUAUCCUGUUAAAUUUAUUUUGUCUUAAAUUCUAUCUUGUCUCAAUAGCAAAAUUCUGACAACUAUUUCAGGAUCUUGCUAUCAUACAAGAUCUAUCUUUGCUCUUCCUUUUACAUUAAACCAUUCUGAAUUGCCUUGUUCAAUAUGUUUCUUGCACACAGAAUAGAUUGGAUUCUGCUCCAUUAGCCAAUCUAAAAGUACGCCAUUUAAUGGUGAGUUAAGCCCAUUUGUGUCUUUGAUAUACCUGUUAUGCUGGUGUUAAGUUCUGUUAUAUAAGUUUUUGCUAUAUAAAUAAUUUAUAUAAAAUCUUGCCCUGUAUUUACACUUUAAUUUGAGGCGCGGGAUAUACUCAUCUGGUAUUUAUAAAUGUUUCUAUGUUUAUUCUUAUUAUUAUCUUAUAAUAAUAUUAUAAUAAAAUAUACUAGUCCUCUAGUGUGUUUGAAUACUAUCUAUUGUUUUCUUCAAUGAGUAGUAAUACUGUUCUCUAGUAAACUCUCUUUCCUUUCUUCUCUCUUUUUGCUUAACAUUUAUUUACUUUAAUUCCAUAUUUUUUAAUGGCAGUUAGAUACUCCCGAGAUAGUCAUUAAGAUUCGUCUACUUUCUUUUUCUUCUCCUUUUUUCUGUUUGUUGUUGAGUUGCAUUAUUUCUUCAUGUUUAACACACUUAAUAGCAUCAUGUUUUGUCACUUUAAUCCCCAUUACUUGCUCUUAAUUAUAAAAUUAAACAUAUUUAGUCCUUAUCCAGAAGCUUCACAUGAUGUUUGUCUUCUUGUCAGUAGGUAGGACAUUUCUAAAAAAGCCAUCACAGGAACAAUGUUUUUUAAAAUCAUAAAUAUUCAUGAAGUUCUACAUUCCUUAGACAUGAUUCAUAGUUUGCAUGAAUAAAAUCUCAUCUCGCUACUGUGUUAUCUGUUUCAUAAUCAUUAAACCAUUUCUUGAUUAUCAUCCUGUAUAAAAUGUUGCUAUCAAGAAGUCUAUUAUCAAUAUAAACUUCUUAUCCUUUUACCUUCAUGCUCAAAUAAUUAAUAUUAUUUUUUAUUUUAAUUUUUGUUCUUAGAAAUAACCAUUACAUGGGUAUUACUAUUCUUUGCCUAAGUUUUAUGUUUAGAAAAUUUUUAGAUAUUUUUAAUCUCUCAAUUUCUGUUUUUUACUCUUAUUUUUAUACUCUAUAUCUCUUACUAUAGUUUGUACCACUUCUAUUUGAUUUUAUGUACCUUCAAAUUAUUUUUUUCUAAAAAUUAUUUUCUAAAAUUUAUCUUACUUGUCUCAGAUUAUCUGAUUCUCUGAUUAAUUUUGAUUUUGUUCCAAUUGUUUUUCUUCAGGGUAAGUAUUUUUCUUUUGCGAGUGAGCAUUAUUGAUGAUUUCUUGUUGUAGUUUAUUGAUAUUAAGAUCUUACAAUACUUCCUUUUAUCUUCAUUUUAUCUUUGCCAUUAACUCCAGCUGGUACUGGCCCUAUGCUGCCAAUGAUUAGGACAAUUACUCUUGUAUUCUGGGUUUCAUGCUGAUUAUUUGUCACCUGUUUUAGUUGGUGAUGUCACCCAUGGGUUUUUCAGUUACUUCUCCUAACUCCUCUGCCUGGUGUUUGGUACAGAUCCAGACAUAAAUGAAAGAAAAGGAGAUAGAUAGAUGGAUAGAUAGAUGAUAGAUAGAUAGAUAGGAUAGAUUAGAUAGAUAAAUAGAUAGAUAGAUACAUAUUUACAUAUGAACUUACAUACCAUAGUUUGCUGCUGAGAGUCUCUCCAGUUUAUUUUAUUUAAUAUUCUCAUAAUCUAGAAGCUAUUCUCUACAAUGAUAAAAUAAUCCAACUCUCAGGCAAUACUGAGCAAAAUACAACGUAACUAAUAUCUCAACAUACUUGACCCUAUAUUUUAUAUGAAAAUAAAUGAGGUCAGGCGCAAAGGCUCAUGCCUAUAAUCCCAGCACUUUGGGAGGCCGAGGCGGGUGGAUCACUUGAGGUCAGGUGUUCGAGACUAGCCUGACCGACAUGGUGAAAUCCCGUGUCUACUAAAAAAAACCACAAAAAUUAGCCAGGCGUGUUGGUGCAUGCCUGUAAGCCCAGCUGCUUGGCAGGCUGAGGCAGGAGAAUUGCUUGAACCUGGGAGGUGGAGGUUGCAGUGAGUUGGGAUCAUGCCAUUGCACUCCAACUUGGGCAACAAGAGCAAAAAAUCUCUGAAAAAAAAAGAGUAAAACACUGGUUGCUCUCUGUUUUAGUAAUAUGUUAUUUAUUAGGUAAAUGUGAUACAUAUUAAGUAAAGUGGGAUUUUUCUUAGAGAAGAUAUUUAUCUCUAUUGAGGUAGCAAAAUAAAUAUGUAUAGAUUGAAUGAAUUUGUCUCCCUUUAGGUUUAAAUAAGAAAUGGGUGUGUGUGUUUUCUUGGCCUAUUCCUAUUUUUCCUGGCUUAUUCAUAUUCUAAUUCCUCUUGUUUAUAUAAUUAUUCACUUUGAUCACCUCAUAUAUCUUAUCUUUUUCGGGUGGCCUAAAAGCAAAAAUAUUCUUACAGUCUAGUCAGCAUUUGCUGUGCUUCUUAUUAUUGUACUUGUUUAGCACAAACUUGAUGCUGAUUCUACUUCUCAUUCUUCAUGACAAAACAAGUGGAAAAAAUAUCUGGGAAUUGGCUCUAUGACAUGGCUAAAUAACACUAAUAUGGGUCUUGUGCUCUUAAUCUAUAAAAUGGGAAUAAUAAAAAUAGCAAGUCUGUAAUCACUGCUAUGUGAAAACCCCGAGUUUUAUGAGUGCUUCUGGGAAUACCUAGUAAAGAAAACAUAUCUGUGUGCUUUAUCUUUUAAUAGUUAAAAACAGUUUUGACAAUAAGUAGUUUAUAUUUAUUAGUUAUUAUAAUACAUAUAAUUGUAAAUAGUUUAUAGGUAUUAGUUAUUAUAAUAUACAUGUACAUAUAACACAUUCAUAUAAACUAUAAGUAGUUUAUGCAUAUUAGUAAUUAUAAUAUACCUAUUAUAAUAACUAAGAAUAGAAAAGCAAUGUAGAAACUAAGAGUUAUAUAAUACCCAUAGUAAUUAAUCAAUAAGCAAAUACUAUUUUUAGUAUUUUUAUACUAUUUGUAUAUGUAUUCAUUACUUUAUGUAUAUAAUUCUUUAUAUAAUUCUUAGGUUCUAUAAUACCUUUAUUCUGUAUAUUUUGAAUUAUGUAUUUAAUAGCCUAAUAUAUUUCUAAUUUGCAGAAAACAAGGAAAAUUGUCUUCCUUCAAUUAUUAUAAGUAUGCAUUUCUUUAUCCAGGGAGGCUAAAAGGCAAGAUCAUAACAAGCUAUUAUAUGGAAAAUUAGUUCUUCAAAAUAUUCCUUUUAAAAUUGAGGCAACAGAAUCAUUUUUCCCUCUCAUUGUAUGUUUAACUUAAAAUUGUUUCAACAACAAUAUGUAGAUUGCCAGUUCAAGUUCUCAGGUGUAACAAGACUCACAUUUCUUUGUUAUACAAUAUAAUAUAAAUAUAAAGUAAAACAUUAUAUUAAAAUGAAAGUUUUAUAAUAUUUAGACAUUAAUAUCUCAGCCUUUCAUUAGCAUAUUAUUUGAAGAAAGGCAUUCACUUUUUCACAGGUUACUUCCUUGCUCCUGAAAAUGACGAUGUUCUAUUUUCUACUAUUUUUGUCUAAAAAUUUAAACAGGUUAGUAUAUCCUCUGCAUAAAUGCUACAAAAUACAAUGCACAAUAAUUUUGUUAAAAUUACUAAAUGUUAGUAAAAUAUUUGAUUAGUUUUCCUAAUAAUUGUUUCCUUAUUUUUCAUAUCUAUAUAUGCAGUCAUUCUAAAGUUAAGGACUACUCUCUUGAUAAUGGAGAAAUCUUUCAACACACAAAAACAAAAUUUUUAUUGUCUUUUAAAUAGGUCCUGAGAAGAGGAUUAGAAAAAGGCAACACAUCAAAAAGUUAAGAGGCAGAAAUAGCUUUUAUGUUGCUGGUAAAUUUAAUGAGAUCUUAAGUUUUUCGACUGGCAAGUCUCAUCUCUUUGAGCAUCUCAGUGAAGACUGUCAGAAAUCAUCAAAAUUCAACACAACAGAGUAAAAGCUAAUAGCAUUUUUGUUAUACCAAAACUGAAAGGAUUGGUAAGACUCAAAAUGAAUGCUAUUACUGAAAAUCUUCUUUUAUCUAAUUCUUUGUGCAGUGAGUGAAAAUUGAACAAAUACAUAUCCUUUUUAUGGUGUUAAAAUGAAUUCUGACACUAUUAAACAAAUAUUCUUUGGUCCUAAGACCUCCUCAAUACUUCUUUCACAAGCAGUAUUAUUAGAAUAUCCUAUGUGACUCUAGUUCAAAAUAUUCUGGCUACCAUUUGAUUAUUUUCUGUGAAAUAAAAAUGCAGCACUGCAUUUUUUUAAAAAUACUGUGUUUUGAUGAAGAAGGAAGUUUUUGAGUGGUUAUCACAUUAGAGAAAUUUUUAUUGUAAUCAACCUUUGAUAAUUUCUGACAUGAUUAAUAUUUAUCUUCUUUUCUAGAUGUUCUUAAGUAUCAAAAAGCAAUAAAGAUAAAAUACAGGACAUCAAAUAUAUCACAUACAUUCAUAUAUCUCAAGAAAUGAAAGCAAUGAAAGAGCUGUGAUAUGAUCCAUAUUUUUUGUUUAUUGACAACUAAUGCAAAAUUCCAAACAAUAAUGAAGCAACUACAGAUUGGGGAAAAUAGUAAAUCAGAAAGAGCAAUUGAGAGAGCCUUUUUAGAAAAAAGUUUUCUCCUUUGGAAUUAUGUUACAUUUUGAGUAAUUAUUAUGAUAUUCAACCAUUAAUUUAUACAUUUGUUUUUAAUUUAACAUAUAUUUUGAGUACUAAAUAUAUCAGGCACUAUUAUAGGUGCUUGUGUUAAUUAACAACCAGUUUUCUAGAAUGUGUAAAGUGCCAUAGAAAAUACCUCUUGGGUUCUAUGCUCACUACCUGGAUGAUGGGUUCAGUCAUACCCAAACCUCAGCAUCAUGCAGUAUACUCUGUAACAAACACUCACAUAUAUCCUCAAAUCUAAAAGUUGAAAUUAAAAAAAAAAAUAAAAAGCAAAUAAUUAUAUUAAGUAUAUUAACUAAAACAAAACUGAUUCCGUUUUAGAAAAAGAAUUUAGAAAUGAGGGGGAGUGGAGACUAGAAUAACACUUAUGGUGUUCAAUCAGAAUCAAAACUAUCAAUAUAUACUUAAGUUUACUUUUUUUCUACAUUAGAUAGAAAUUGAAAAGAAUGUGUAGAUAUAUAAAUAGACCUAGACGCACGUUUGUGUGUGAAUGUGUAUAUAUAUAUAUAUAUAUAUAUAUAUAUAUUUUUUUUUUUUUUGAGAUGGAGUCUUUCUCUGUUGCCCAGCUUGGAGUGCAGUGGCCCGAUCUCGGCUCACUGCAAGCUCUGCCUCCUGGAUUCAUGCCAUUCUCCUGCCUCAGUCUCCCAAGUAGCUGGGACUACAGGCACCUGCCACCACGCCCAGCUAAUUUUUUUGUAUUUUUAAUAGAGACGGGGUUUCACCGUGUUAGCCAGGAUGGUCUUGAUCUUCUGACCUCAUAAUCCGCCCAUCUCAGCCUUCCAAAGUGCUGGGAUUACAGGUGUGAGCCAUAGCGCCCGGCUGAAUGUGUGUAUAUUUCUUAAUUUUAACCACUAAGACUAGAAGCAAUAACAUUUUAAUAGCAAUCAGCACAUCUAGCAUUCAAAUCUUGGAUUCACUUUUUUCUUCUUUAAAAGGAUACAGAGCUCCUUGGAUCAAUGCCUGAUUCUAGGUGCAUGCGGCAGAAAGAACAAAAUGGGUCUGAGACAUCUGUUGUUGUUAAGAAAAUAAGGAAGUCUCAACUAAUGAUUGAGACAUGCCAAAGAACAUAGGAGCUAACUAGAAGUGGCUCUCAGUGACCCAAACUGAGAUAAAUUGAACAAGGGAAUAAAUAAUGAUGGCAAUAGAUUAUUCAGAUUAAUUAAACCAAAUACACAUGAAUCCACACUAAUAUAAAUAAAUAAUUGGAUAAAUAAGAAAAGUGGGACAAAGGAAAGCUUUUCCAUACAGUAGAAUUCUAAUCAAUAAAUAUAGAAAGAAUAGUGGAAAUAGAUUCUCAUUUCUUGGCAAAUACCACAUAAUUGUUGCAGACAAGUCUGCUAAAAUUAGUGGAUACAAUUAUGAGAAACAAGAUAUUUACAUAAUCUCCAAGUAUCUCUCAACAAAAUACUGAUUUUAAAAAUGGUAACUUUGAAGUGGAGAAAUGUGGCAGACAAUGUCUUAUUCAAGUGAUCAGAGUUAACGUCAACAAUAUUAGGACACAAUAAUAUCAUGUGCCUCCUGAUAUGAUGCACUGAGAAGGACAACCUCGGCAUUGUGGCAUUCUUGCCAAAAUAUAUUAUGUGAAUUUAACCAUGAAGAAAUAUUAGAAAAAAAUCAAACUUCAAAAUAAUCUACAAAAAACAAGUAUCAAGGGCAUGAAAGACAAAAAGAAAAGCUGAAUUUUCUUUUUUAACUUUUUUUUUUUUUUGAGAUGGAGUCUUGCACUGUUGCCAAGGCUGGAGUGCAGAGGCGUGAUCUCUGCUCACUGAAAGCUCCGCCGCCUGGGUUCACGCCAUUUUCCUGCCUCAGCCUCCCAAGUAGCUGGGACUACAGGUGCCCGCCACCACGCCAGCUAAUUUUUUGUAUUUUUAGUAGAGACGGGGUUUCACCGUUUUAGCUAGGAUGGUCUCCAUCUCCUGUUCUCAUGAUCCGCCCGCCUCGGCCUCCCAAAGUGCUGGGAUUACAGGCAUGAGCCUCCGCACCCGAAUAAAGAAAACUAAAGAAAUGUAGCAGAUAAAUGCAAUAUGUGACCCUGAUUUUGAUCCUAGUUAAAAAACAUUAGUGGAACCAUGAACAAAAUAUGUAAAUAAGGUCUGUAGGUAAGUAACUAAUUCUGUAUCAAUUUCCUAAUGUGAGUAACUGUACUCUUAGAUAUGGUGUUAGCAGUCAAGAAGCUGGGUGAAGAAUAUAUAGGAAUUCUUGAUUUUUUUAAAUAUAUUUUUGUAAGCUUUAAAGUAGUUCAAAAUGAAAAUUUUAAAAUAAAAUGAAUAAAAAAGAAAAAGGAUAGGAUGGAUCUUCUGAAGUAUUGUGCUAAAUAUGAAAUUCAUGGUCCAUCCCUGAGGUCUUUUAUAUUACAGUGUUUAAGAUAUAAAAUAAAUGUAAAGAAAACCAAAGAAUGAUCAAUAGUGAUGAAAGUUAUCACUAUUUCUGGAUAAACCAUGUUCUACGAUAGCACAUAACUGGUGAUAGCUUGGAGUCAUGCGAAGACCUCUCCAAGAAAAUGAAAUGUAAAGUGAUGACUUAAAUAUGGAAAAGGAACCAUUUGAUUAAAAAGCCAAACUAUGAAGCUUCAAAGACAGGAUGUUACCUUGUGCAAAACCCUGACUUGGGGAAAAACUGUGUUUCAAGAGUGGAAAGAGCCCUGUCUCAUUAGGAGUGAGGGUCUUGAAUGGUGCCUGUGGUUGUAGACAGCAGAGCAGAGCUUUAGCAUCCUGGAGAUUUGUAAUUGUACUCCACAAGUAACUAAAGGAUUUAAGGCAGAGGAGGGAAAGAAUCUUGCUUACAUUACAAAAAAUAAAAAAGAAAAAGAAGAAAUAAAAAAAUAGAAAAAAAUGUAAUAUAUAUUAUUAUUAUUACAUUGGUUUAUAGUAAUUGGUUUAUAUCUAAUUUGUUUCCCUGUGUUUAUAAUACAUAUAUAUCUCUGCCUCUUAAACCAAGAAUAAUUUUUACAGGGACAAGAAUAAACACAAGGAAAUGAAUUAGAAAACUAUUAAAGUGAAAGGACAAGAAGGUGGAGACCUUGUUCAAAAUAAUGAAAUACAUAUUUAAUAUAUGUGCAAGUUUGAAGAAAAGAGCUACUGAUAGGGUUUUGGUGUAUUAGAUAAGAUAAAAUCAAUGGGAACACCAGCUGAAGUAAACAAACAAGCAUACACACACAAACUGGGAAGCAGAGAAAAUAACAAAACUCUACUUAAAACAUUAUGAAUUUCAGUUGUCUAUAAAACAAUCCACAUUUGAUAUUAAGUAAGUAGAUGACUAUGCAAAGCUCUAACUCAGAGAAGAUACCAAAAUUGGAAAUAUUCUGAGAUGCUAUCAUGUAACUGGCCUUUAAACUCAUGAAAAUGCUUGAGAACACUCAGGGGAAAAAGUGAGUAAGUAGAGAAAAAAGAAAGUACUCAGCUAAGUGGGUUGAAGACAGUACAGGAAAUAUUGAAGGAGACUGUCUAUUGUUUGAUUGAUUUCUUUCAAAGAAAGAAUACAAAGUAAGUUGAUAACUGAAGGACAACGGUAGGUCAAUGUAAACUUUUAACAAAAAGGGAAUUAUUCAUUAAUGAGAAUGAUAAUACUAAAAUGAGAGGGAGAGCUAAGGGACAGAAUUUACUUAAUAUUGGGAGAUCUCAUCAAUUUAGCAUAAGACAUGUGGUAACUUUGUAGAAGGUUAUUGUUAUGAAUGCUGUGGGAGUGAAUGCAUUGGGAAACUAAAAUAGAAUGUUUGGCACUGUUGAGUAUCCUUUUAAGUUUUGUAAUGAAUUGAAAUCAUGUUAUUAGUUACAACGUAGAUGAGCCUGGAGGACAUUAUGUUAAGUGAAAUAAGACAGGCACAGAGAGAGAAAAACCACAUGUUCUCACUUAUAUGUGGGAGCUAAAAAUGGGCUUAUAAAAGUAACAAGUAGAAUUGUAGUUAUCAGAGGCUGGAAAGGAUGGGAAUAAGAAGAGGAUGGAAAGAGGUUGGUAAGCAAAGUUAACUUUGUAACAAAGUUGUAGCUAGAAGGGAGGAAUAGCUCUAGCGUUCUGUAGCACUGCAGGGUGAAUUAAGUUAACAAUAAUUUAGUGAAUUUUUUUAAAAACCUACCAGAUAGAAUUCUGAAUAUUCACAUCACAAGGAAAUGACAAAUGUACAAGGUGAUAGUAUGCUAAUUACUCUGAUUAGAAUAUUUCAUAUUGUAUACAUGUAUCAAAAUAUCACUCUGUAUCCCAUAAAUACGUAUAAUUAUGUGCCAACUAAAAACAAAAGAAAAAAUAGAAUUCAAAAUAUAAUCAAUGUUCAACAAAAGCUUAUUAAAUUAAGACAAAGAAGCUAUUGAAAAUCAUUUUUAAUUCUGAAUUUAAAUUAAAAUAAUCUAGCUUAAUUAUGUCAUUUCCCCCCAGAAUUCUUAUGCUUUUUGGAUGCUAGCCCAUUAAAAAAAGGACAAAAUUUGGAAUCAUAUUGUUUACUCUAAUAACCUAGUCUAAAUCACGAUUCUAGAGAGAAGUGGUAAAGACUCAAAUUGUUAUUAUAUUAGAAACUUAGCCUUCUGAAGGCAAUAUUAGGGAAAAAGAACUCUAGGCCACAAUGAGAAUGAGAGUAGUUUAAACAGGAAAAGGAAGAAUCAGAGAGAUUAUUGAAAAUGCCAUCAACUAAGCAUAAUUCAAACAGAAAACAACAUAUAUAUAUAUAUAUAUUUUUUUUUUUCACCUAGGAUUAGUAAAUCAAGAAAAUUGUAUUACAAUUUUAUUGGAUGGUGAGUUCUAUAAUACACUAAGUAUAAAAAAAGAAGUAAAAGACUUGACAUAUACCAUAAUAAAAUAUUUAAUAAGAACAUAUCUAGUAAGUACAUAGAAAUAUAUAAAUAAAAACAGCUUUAUUCAAUAAGUAUUUGUGACUAUUAUAUAUCUUAUCUCAUUUAUCUUCACAUUAUUUUUGUAGGAUAAAUAUUACUAAUUUGAUGUGUUGGUUGCAAAAAGGGUAAUGUCACUAAAAGAAGUCAGAUAGCCUGAUUAAGGUUUUACAUUCAUUCAUUGUGACAAAUAUAUAAUGAGAACACAAUUUCUCUUAUUAUAUCAAACUACCUGCUAAACAGCAAAAGGAGUUUGAUGAUUUAAUUACAUAUACUUUAUCUUAAUUCCCAAAGUGUAUUAAUAUGGAAGGGCAUUCUUUGUUGGUACUUGAUGAGGUAAGAAUUAAGAAUUUAAAACUUAUUGGUAUAAACAUAUACCUAAUUUAAAUCAUUUAAGUUAUGAUAUAUUAAGCUAACACAUGCUUGAAUUUGUUACUACUUUUGAAAAUUUCUGUGUCUCCCCACACCUUCCUCAUUCCACUUCGCUAGUUAUUAUGUUUCUUUUUUAAUUUAUGAAGAUGGAAUAUAAUGCCCAAUUCAUAAUACUGUUUUUCAGGUACAAAGUUGGCAUAGACAAUACUGAAAUACAUGUGAUGACAUUUACAGUAGCAAUUCAAAUUAAAAGAGAAAAGCAUCUUUCUAAACCAUCUUCAAGUAAACACUUGCCAUUUAUUUCUACUAGCAAAUAUUUCUAUGUAUCCUAAAAAUUAAAAGUGAUAUACAUUGAGUAAGACUUUACAGUCCUCAGAAUACUAUAAUGGAAAAAUAUGUAUUUGAUAUGUUUUCCUGCCAUUUCGCUAUCUAGAAAAUGUCCUAAUUCUUAAAAAAGAUCAUUAGCUAGCCACUGAAAUCUCAGGGGGAAAAGCUGUUAAAACUGACAGCUACAUUUUAUAACACUACACAUAUAGACAACUCAGAGUUUAAAUACAUUGGAUUUGUAAUCUCUCUGUUAUUUAGAAGAGGUGCUGUAUAGGUGAAGGACUCAUUUUGUGAACCUUUCUUACUAUAUCAGCUAAUUUAUUCUUAGAACAUUUCUAGAGAAAGAAAAACAGCAAGAGAUCAUCAGAGAAUAAAAAAAGUAUUAUAAAAAUGAGUUAAAAUCAUUUAAAGUAGCAGUUUAUUUUUCAGAAAAGAAUUUUAAGCCUCUACAUAUUUAUGAACAAGAAUGGAAACUCUUGAACAACAGUCAUGAAAAUUUAAAAUACAGAUCUGAUAAAAAAUUCCUCUGCCUGUUUUAUCAAAUGUGUUUGGAUUGGAAAUAAAUGGGGAGUUUGUUUCAUAGCUCCCCUGGGUUGGAGGUAAAAAGUUUCUAUUCCUUAGGAAAUGGAAUAAAAUAAAUUGGUUAAAAGAAGUUUUGAGAUUCAUUCGUCCAUAGCAUUCUAAAAUAGGAAUUAGCUUAGAAAGGUCAUCAACGACCAAAAUUAUCUGAGUUUGGUGGAGAUAAAAAAGCAAGACUGAAAGUUAUAUUUUUUUUCAAGCAAUGUUUGAAUGGAUAAAGUACAGAAGGAGAAAAAUGGUUGCAUUUCUAUGCAUUGAAAAUGCUUAUUUGGUUUUCUUUUAAGCUUGUUGUUUCAAAUGGCCCACUUAAAUUUACUGACUCUAUACCAAAUAAAUUAAUCUCACUUUUCACACUGCUAUCCCUCUAGUUUCUUGCCUCAAUUUAUUCCAGAAUGACAUUCUACAUUUAUUCAAUAAGUACUCAGAGGGAUGUGUUAUGUGCAUGGCAUUCAACUAACCAUUAGUUGGACAAGACAAACUAAGUAAAGGAUAUCUUUCCUGCCUUCUUAAGGUUUGCAGUUUAAUUAUCUUGAUUUCGAGCCUCAUUCUCUUACAUUUUCACUAAUUUUCCAUAUUUUUUCUAAGUCUCUGAGAAGUUUUGAUAGUGAAUUCCAUCACCUUUAUAUUAGCUAAGCUCUCAUUGGCUUUCUAACUCAAUUUAUCACAUGGAUAUUGACUUUCAACCAUGUUUUCUUUUUUCUUUUUUUUUUUUUUUCUUUUGAGAUGAGUUUUGCUCUUGUUGCCUAGGCUGGAGUGCAAUGGCGUGAUCUCGGCUCACUGCAACCUCUGCCUCCAGGGUUCAAGCGAUUCUCCUUACUCAGCCUCCCAAAUAGCUGGGAUUACAGGUGUGCACUACCAUACCCAGCUAAUUUUGUAAUUUUAGUAGAGACCGCGUUUCUCCAUGUUGGUCAGGCUGGUAUUGAACUCCUGAUCUCGUAGUCCCCCCGCCUCGGCCUCUCAAAGUGCUAGGAUUACAGAUGAGAGACACCGUGCCUGGCCUCAACCAUGUUUUCAAUUCUGAAAACAACUAAGAAGUAUAUGACCGUUCUUACCUUCAAAUAAAUACAAUUUUAGUCUAAAUGAUAAAACGACUCUAUAUAGGUAAAUUCAUCAUAAGUUAGGAAGUGCAAGUGGAAUGAAAAGUUGAAAAAAAUGGCAUAGUACGUGAGUAUGAAAGGAUACAGAAUUAAAACCCAUCUAGAAGAUUCAGUAAAAUAUAUGGCUUCCUUUUUAUCCAAAUAAUUUUAGAAACUUUCCCUCCAACUUCCACACUUCUAUGGCAUUCAAUUCCCAUCUUUAUUUUAUUUCGUCUUAUAUUUUGUUUUACCUUCUGUCUUUACUUUCCCUUCUUGUUGAAGUAAUUAUUUCCUAGAAACAUAGAUCUUCAUAAGGUUUAUUACUGAUUUAACAUCUAAAGUUAUCAUAUGAGCUAGAUUAUGUUAUCUAGCAAUUUAUCAAUUGCAAAAAUUUCACCCAAUUGUAAUUUAGAAAAAGUGUCAAACCCCCUAAUAAGUUGCAAGAAUAACAAAACUAAUAUUCAAAUACAUGCAACUCAAUCCAUAAUCCAUGUUUGUGUGUGUGUGUAAAGUUUUUUUUUUUUUUGAGACUGAGUUUCGCUCUUGUUGCCCAGGCUGGAGUGCAAUGGUGCAAUCUCGGCUCACUGUAACCUCCGCCUCCCAGGUUCAAGUGAUUCUCCUGCCUCAGCCUCCCGAGUAGCUGAGAUUACAGGCAUGCGCCACCACACCCAGCUAAUUUUGUAUUUUUAGUAGAGACUGGGUUUCUCCACAUUGGUCAGGCUGGUCUUGAACUCCCGACCUCAGGUGAUCUGCCCGCCUCAGCCUCCCAAAGUGCUGGGAUUACAGGUGUGAGCCACCGCCCCAGCUAAAUUUUUUAACUUAUUCAAAAAUCAGUUGUAUACAUCACUAUAAUUCACAGGGAUAAGCAAAUUAUUUCUAUAAAGAGCAAUAUAACAAAUAUUUUAGGAGUGUGUGUCUGUAAACUUUUGAGCUUAUUCAAAAAGUAGUUGCAAACAUUAUUAUGAGUCACAGUGUCAGCAAAGUAUUUAUUUCUAUAAAGGGUAAGACAGUAAAUAUUUUAGGCUUUGGGAACAUUGUAGAAGUUUCUGUCACAACUGCUAAACCCUGUUGUAACAAGAAAGUAGACAAAAUGCAAACAAAUGGCUGUGGUUACAAUAUUAUCAACUUUAUUCAUAGACACAAAUGUUAAAUUUUGUUAAUUUUGUUUUACGAACUAUUAUUCUGUUGAUAUUUUUGUAUUAUUCAAAAAAUAUAAAAACAUUCUUAGCUGCAGGUUGUACAAAAACAGGCAAUAGGACAGGUUCAGUGUAUGGGCUGAAGUCUGCUAAACCCUGUGGUUCAACUAUAAAUAUUACAGUAUAUAGCUGCUAAUAGCAAGAGCAAUGUCCUAUUUAUACACAAGAAAAUUAUCACAGGUGGAAAUUAUAUUAAAUACAUUUUAAUCAUGCAAAUUAUACAGGAAUGUAGUACUUUUGAAAAAAUCAAACGAUUACCAGUAAAUCUAUUGUGUGUUGGUUCAUCCCCAGAAGGCCAUUAUUAUCAGUGUGGUUUGCGUAUUUCCAGACAUUUUCCAAAGCAAUCACAUAAGUUUAUUUUAAAAAUGUAUUCUCACAUAUUUUACUGAUAAACCAUUUAAAAGUAAAUGUGCAAACAAUAGUUCUGCAAUUCAUUCAUUCUCUUUAAUAAGAAACAUGCUGGAGACAAAGAAGGCAGGUUUUUUGGUAACCAUAUAACUGGCUAACCUCUUGGCAAACAAACUAAGAAGUUUCCAGGAAGGAAUAUCUUACCUACAGAAUGCUUUUAGAAGAAUGCAUGUGCUGUGAUUUCUUUUCUAGGGUUGUUUAUAAUAAAACCUAAAUCUCUUUGACUCAUGGGGCGUAGUUUCCUGGACCAUCUAAAGACAAAAUGAGAUAUUUUGUGAUCUAAAUAUCUCCUCUGUGUAAGUGAGAUGACCGCACAUCUUACUCAGAAUCAUCAUCUAUUAUCCUUGUUCAAAGCAUACCUGAUGUGGGAUUCUCACAGUGCUAUCUGACCUUACCUUGCUCCACCUGUACCUCACAAUAAUUUUUAUCCAUAAAAUUAUUAGUUAAGUUUGCAUAAGAUCUCCGAUGCAUGUGAGUCUGAUUUGAUAAUCUAAUACUUUGUGUAUUUUUAACCACAAUAAUGUGUUUUUAUUUUUCAAUUUAAUAUGUAUUGGAAAUCUUAGUGAUUCAACACACGUUAAUCUUUAUCAUUUCUUUAACUCUUAGAUAUGUCAUAUUUACUUAGCCAUUUCUCUAUUGGUGGACAUUUAAUCUAUUUAAUGGGCUUUUGACUAUUUUUAAAAAGCUGUAAUUGACAUCCUAUUGCAUUUUAUUGCACAUAUGUUAGUAUUUCAUAAGACAGAUGAUGAGUUAAGGAAAAUUGUGCUUAUAAGUUAUUCACGUUGUAAAAUUUAAUAGAUAUCAAAAAUUUUCAUCUAAAGUGGUCUUAAAUUACAGAUGUCAAUUUGAUAUUAUUAAACUUUGAAUUAUUUUGCUAAACCCAUGGAUUGAAAGUAUAAUUUUAUGAAAUCUUAGGUACCACAGGAAGAAGUAUAAAUUGAUACAACUGAUUUGAAAAAAAGUUAGUCUGUGAUUAAAUAAGUAUCCACAUAUGUUUGCUCCUAAAAUUCCUUGGAUAGUUAUAUGUUGUAGAUAAACUUAUGCAUAUAAUUCUGAGAGCAUAUGUCCAAGUAUUUUCAUAUUGACUUUGCUCCUAAGCAACCAAACUUUAAAAUAACACAAAUGUAUAUAAGGAAUAAAAUAGAAAAUUCUCAUCUAUAUAAACAAUCAAAUAUUAUAGAGCAGUGAAAAUAAAUAAAUUACAACUGCUUGCAACAACAGGGCUGUCACUCAUAAACAUAUGUUGAACAAAAGGAGUGUGGCACAAAAUAAUACAGAAAGAGGAUUUCAUAGUAAUUAUCAAAGCAGGCCAAAAAACACUAAGGUAUGUUGUUCAGAGAUGCAUACAUGCUAUACCUUUUUGAAGCACAGCAAAAAAAUUAUACAUAAAACUUAGGGUGAGAGGAGCUUCUUUUAGGAAGGGACACUUGGGGGAGUCUGGGGCGCUAAUAUAGUCUAAUUCCUGGCCUAGUUUGGUUUACAUGGGUUAGCUUUACAAUCUGAAUACGUUUAAGCUUUACAGAUGUCUUUGAUUCAUGCUUUUGCAUCUCAAAAUAAAAGGUUCUAUUGUUUAAGUUUAAUUUGUUUUACUUGAUUAUUGAAAAAUUUAAUUAUUUUUAAAAUUUUAAUUAAAUUAGUUUAAAUAAAUAAUUAAGGUCUUUAGAACUAAUCUCUUGAUUCUUCCAGUAAGUACCUAUUUUUACAUUUUCCCACUUUUCUAUUGAAAUAUUUUUAUUUUUCUAAAUUAUUUAUAGAUUUGCUUUCAUAUACAUAGUUUACAUAUUUUCUCAUAGUAAAAAAUAUGUAGUAAAACUAUUUUGCUAGAAGUGAAGACUUUAAAUUUAAGUUAGCCAAAUUAAUCAAUUUUUUUCAAGGGUAUUGAUUUUUUAGUCUUGCUUAAAAAGGCAAAAUGGAGGCAUACAUUAGGUAAAUAUAUUGAGAAUGGGAAUUUGAAUCAGAAAGAAAAGGCAACGAUCAGUUGGAAGUAUCUGAAUACAUAUUGCCUAAUGGGCAUGUCCUCUCUCUGACAAAAAGCCUGAUCUGACUGCAAAUGAGGCAAAUUGUGGCCUGUAGCAGCAUGAACCUCCUUCUCCACCAAAGGAUUGCUCAGUAAUAACAGUCUAGCAGAAACUCACCUUGAAAAAAAAAUGUAGACAACAUGAAAAAAAGAAAGAAAGGAAGAAAAUCAACAGUCAUUCGGAGAAGUGCCAUCAUUGUAAGUGCAUAGGGUAAGAUUAAAAUAACAUAAAGCAAAUGAAAGAUGUAUCAAAUACAAAA